GUAGGUGAACCUGCGGAAGGAUCAUUAAUGAAUUUAGGAGGUUUGCUGUGCCGUCUUCACGGAAUUGUGCACGCUUACCUCUAUAAUCCUUAUCAACACCUGUGCACCUUUCUAGGGAGAACGAUAGGUUUCACGACCUAUCAUGACCUCUAUAUACACACUCUUUAUGUCAAUGAAUGUUACUUGGCCGAAAGGCUAGAAUUAUAAACAACUUUUAACAACGGAUCUCUUAGCUCUC
rnacentral:misc_RNA from 1 species